rnacentral:rRNA from 1 species
UGAGGAACAUGACCUUCGGCGGGGGAUAGCCGGCCCAACGGCCGGGUAAUACCGCGUACGACCACAUGGGGACAUCCCUGAGUGGUGAAAGCAGCAAUGCGCCGAUGGAGUGCCUCGCGGCCUAUCAGCUAGUUGGUGAGGUAACGGCUCACCAAGGCGACGACGGGUAGCUGGUCUGAGAGAAUGGCCAGCCACAUUGGGACUGAGACACGGCCCAGACCUCGUACGGGGAGG